rnacentral:rRNA from 1 species
GAUGAACGCUGGCGGCGUGCCUAAUACAUGCAAGUCGAGCGAACAGACGAGGAGCUUGCUCCUCGGACGUUAGCGGAGGACGGGUGAGUAACGCGUGUAUAACCUACCUAUAAGAGUGAGAUAACUUCGGGACACCGGCGCUAAUCCCGGAUAAUCUAUUGAACCACAGUGUUCAAUGGUGAAAUACGGUGUUGCUGUCACUUAUAGAUGGAUCCGCGCCGCAUUAGCUAGUUGGUAAGGUAACGGCCUACGAAGGCAACGAGGCGUAGCCGACCUGAGAGGGUGGUAGGCCACCCUGGAACUGGGCCACGCUCCAGACUCCUACGGGACGCAGCAGUAGGGUAUCGUCCGCAAUGGGCGAGAGCCUUACGGAGCAACGCCGCGUGAGUUAUGAAGGUCCUGCGAUCGUAAAACUCUGUUAUGAGUGAAGAACAAAUGUGUAAGUAACUAUGCACGUCUUGACGGUACCUAGUCAGAAAGCCACGGCUAACUACGUG